AAAGCAGGAAGUUUCACCCUUCUACACUUCCUCAUUUCAAGCUUGUAGGAUCAUGGGGUACCCAUCACAUGUGGUACUAGGUGGCGGUCGGGCGAUGGUGCAAAACGAUUCUCCACAUCCACAAAUCACGUAUAACCCACCAUCCCCUGUUGCCCACCUCCAACUGAGCUCAUGUACUCCCACGUAGCCCUUAUCCUCGUUCCUCUCAACGUCGGGUCCCCAUCAAUCCUCCCAAGCUUCCACAACAUCCAGGUAAUUCCACAUCCAAUCAUCAUGGACUAACAAAACCAAGCAAAACAGGGCAAAGGCAGAAAACUUUGCCCAAAACACAACUCAAAAUCAUAGCUUUUCACAUACAAAUACCCCAGUAACAUUUCCUUCGUUCCAAUUCGUUAACCG
rnacentral:lncRNA from 1 species